rnacentral:rRNA from 1 species
AACUUUCAACAACGGAUCUCUUGGUUCUGGCAUCGAUGAAGAACGCAGCGAAAUGCGAUAAGUAAUGUGAAUUGCAGAAUUCAGUGAAUCAUUGAAUCUUUGAACGCACAUUGCGCCCCUUGGUAUUCCGAGGGGCAUGCCUGUUUGAGCGUCAUUU